rnacentral:rRNA from 1 species
GACGAACGCUGGCGGCGUGCUUAACACAUGCAAGUCGAACGGAAAGGCCUUUUCGGCGGUACUCGAGUGGCGAACGGGUGAGUAACACGUGGGUGAUCUGCCCUGCACUCUGGGAUAAGCCUGGGAAACUAGGUCUAAUACCGGAUAGGACCGCACUUUAGGGUGUGUGGUGGAAAGUUUUUUCGGUGUAGGAUGAGCCCGCGGCCUAUCAGCUUGUUGGUGGGGUAAUGGCCUACCAAGGCGGCGACGGGUAGCCGGACUGAGAGGUUGGUCGGCCACAUUGGGACUGAGAUACGGCCCAGACUCCUACGGGAGGCAGCAGUGGGGAAUAUUGCACAAUGGGCGCAAGCCUGAUGCAGCGACGCCGCGUGGGGGAUGACGGCCUUCGGGUUGUAAACUCCUUUCGCCAGGGACGAAGCGUUUUGUGACGGUACCUGGAGAAGAAGCACCGGCUAACUACGUG